rnacentral:rRNA from 1 species
UACGGGGGGGGCAAGCGUUGUUCGGAAUUACUGGGCGUAAAGGGCUCGUAGGCGGCCAACUAAGUCGGAUGUGAAAUUCCCAGGCUUAACCUGGGAACUGCAUCCGAUACUGGAUGGCUUGAAUCCGGGAGAGGGAUGCAGAAUUCCAGGUGUAGCGGUGAAAUGCGUAGAUAUCUGGAGGAAUACCGGUGGCGAAGGCGGCAUCCUGGACCGGCAUUGACGCUGAUGAGCGAAAGCUAGGGGAGCAAACGGG